CUCUGAAGAGACAGAGGGCCCAGCAGUCACACUCCCUGCCAGACGACACACAAGGCCUACUAACAGCAACAGAAAAUGAAGGACUAAAGCUGCUUCAAGGCAAAGAAAGAGAAAUGAGGUCUGCACUCCACCAGCUGAGGGAAGAAGUGGCAGCUGUGAUCCAGAUGUUUUCCAACAAGCAAAUGAAAACAGUUCAAAAAAAUGAAAGUUCUUCUCAACUCAUGCAUCUCCCAGCAUUGGGAUUAGAAGGCCCACAGGAUCGUCAUGGUCAGAUCAGAGAAGGCAGUGCCAACAGCUUUCACACCAUCACCUGAGCUGGCCUUCUUGCUGCCCAAACUCUCAGAGGCAAGCAACUUUGUCCUCCAGACCAACGUUUGAAGCUUGAAAUCUGGCCACAUUUUUAAAAAUUGAAAUAAAUUUGAUGUAAUUGUAAA